AGUGAACGCUGGCGGUAGGCCUAACACAUGCAAGUCGAACGGCAGCACAGCAAGAGCUUGCUCUUACGGGUGGCGAGUGGCGGACGGGUGAGGAAUACAUCGGAAUCUACUUUUUCGUGGGGGAUAACGUAGGGAAACUUACGCUAAUACCGCAUACGACCUACGGGUGAAAGCAGGGGAUCUUCGGACCUUGCGCGAUUGAAUGAGCCGAUGUCGGAUUAGCUAGUUGGCGGGGUAAAGGCCCACCAAGGCGACGAUCCGUAGCUGGUCUGAGAGGAUGAUCAGCCACACUGGAACUGAGACACGGUCCAGACUCCUACGGGAGGCAGCAGUGGGGAAUAUUGGACAAUGGGCGAAAGCCUGAUCCAGCCAUACCGCGUGGGUGAAGAAGGCCUUCGGGUUGUAAAGCCCUUUUGUUGGGAAAGAAAAGCAGCAGGUUAAUACCCCGCUGUUCUGACGGUACCCAAAGAAUAAGCACCGGCUAACUUCGUG
rnacentral:rRNA from 1 species